rnacentral:rRNA from 1 species
GACGAACGCUGGCGGCGUGCUUAACACAUGCAAGUCGAACGGAAAGGCCCUGCUUUUGUGGGGUGCUCGAGUGGCGAACGGGUGAGUAACACGUGAGUAACCUGUCCUUGACUUUGGGAUAACUUCAGGAAACUGGGGCUAAUACCGGAUAGGAGCUCCUGCUGCAUGGUGGGGGUUGGAAAGUUUCGGCGGUUGGGGAUGGACUCGCGGCUUAUCAGCUUGUUGGUGGGGUAGUGGCUUACAAAGGCUUUGACGGGUAGCCGGCCUGAGAGGGUGACCGGCCACAUUGGGACUGAGAUACGGCCCAGACGCCUACGGGAGGCAGCAGUGGGGAAUAUUGCACAAUGGGCGGAAGCCUGAUGCAGCAACGCCGCGUGCGGGAUGACGGCCUUCGGGUUGUAAACCGCUUUCGCCUGUGACGAAGCGUGAGUGACGGUAAUGGGUAAAGAAGCACCGGCUAACUACGU